rnacentral:rRNA from 1 species
AUACAUGCAGUCGAGCGAAUGGAUUAAGAGCUUGCUCUUAUGAAGUUAGCGGCGGACGGGUGAGUAACACGUGGGUAACCUGCCCAUAAGACUGGGAUAACUCCGGGAAACCGGGGCUAAUACCGGAUAACAUUUUGAACUGCAUGGUUCGAAAUUGAAAGGCGGCUUCGGCUGUCACUUAUGGAUGGACCCGCGUCGCAUUAGCUAGUUGGUGAGGUAACGGCUCACCAAGGCAACGAUGCGUAGCCGACCUGAGAGGGUGAUCGGCCACACUGGGACUGAGACACGGCCCAGACUCCUACGGGAGGCAGCAGUAGGGAAUCUUCCGCAAUGGACGAAAGUCUGACGGAGCAACGCCGCGUGAGUGAUGAAGGCUUUCGGGUCGUAAAACUCUGUUGUUAGGGAAGAACAAGUGCUAGUUGAAUAAGCUGGCACCUUGACGGUACCUAACCAGAAAGCCACGGCUAACUACGUGCCAGCAGCCGCGGUAAUACGUAGGUGGCAAGCGUUAUCCGGAAUUAUUGGGCGUAAAG